rnacentral:rRNA from 1 species
GGAUGCGAUCAUACCAGCACUAAAGCACCGGAUCCCAUCAGAACUCCGAAGUUAAGCGUGAUUGGGCGAGAGUAGUACUAGGAUGGGUGACCUCCUGGGAAGUUCUCGUGUUGCAUUCC